UAAGGAAUAUUGGUCAAUGGACGAAAGUCUGAACCAGCCAUGCCGCGUGAAGGAUUAAGGCCCUCUGGGUUGUAAACUUCUUUUAUAUGGGACGAAAAAAGGGUAUUCUUACUCACUUGACGGUACCAUAGGAAUAAGCACCGGCUAACUCCGUGCCAGCAGCCGCGGUAAUACGGAGGGUGCAAGCGUUAUCCGGAUUUACUGGGUUUAAAGGGUGCGUAGGUGGGCAGGUAAGUCAGUGGUGAAAUCUCCGGGCUUAACCCGGAAACUGCCAUUGAUACUAUCUGUCUUGAAUAUCCUGGAGGUGAGCGGAAUAUGUCAUGUAGCGGUGAAAUGCUUAGAUAUGACAUAGAACACCAAUUGCGAAGGCAGCUCACUACGGGAUUAUUGACACUGAGGCACGAAAGCGUGGGGAUCAAACAGGAUUAGAUACCCUGGUAGUCCACGCCCUAAACGAUGGAUACUCGACAUCAGCGAUACACUGUUGGUGUCUGAGCGAAAGCAUUAAGUAUCCCACCUGGGAAGUACGAUCGCAAGAUUG
rnacentral:rRNA from 1 species